CCUACGGGGGGCAGCAGUGGGGAAUAUUGGACAAUGGGGGCAACCCUGAUCCAGCCAUGCCGCGUGUGUGAAGAAGGCCCUCGGGUUGUAAGCACUUUCAGUGAGGAAGAACGCCUGGUGGUUAAUACCCAUCAGGAAAGACAUCACUCACAGAAGAAGCACCGGCUAACUCCGUGCCAUCAGCCGCGGUAAUACGGAGGGUGCGAGCGUUAAUCGGAAUUACUGGGCGUAAAGCGCGCGUAGGUGGCUUGAUAAGCCGGUUGUGAAAGCCCCGGGCUCAACCUGGGAACGGCAUCCGGAACUGUCAAGCUAGAGUGCAGGAGAGGAAGGUAGAAUUCCCGGUGUAGCGGUGAAAUGCGUAGAGAUCGGGAGGAAUACCAGUGGCGAAGGCGGCCUUCUGGACUGACACUGACACUGAGGUGCGAAAGCGUGGGUAGCAAACAGGAUUAGAUACCCCGGUAGUC
rnacentral:rRNA from 1 species